rnacentral:rRNA from 1 species
GGAGGGUGCGAGCGUUGUUCGGAAUUACUGGGCGUAAAGAGCGCGUAGGCGGUUGGGUAAGUCGAAUGUGAAAUCCCGGGGCUCAACCCCGGAACUGCAUCCGAAACUGCUCAGCUAGAGUCCCGGAGAGGAAGGCAGAAUUCCCAGUGUAGGGGUGAAAUCCGUAGAUAUUGGGAGGAAUACCAGUGGCGAAGGCGGCCUUCUGGACGGUGACUGACGCUAAAGCGCGAAAGCGUGGGGAGCAAACAGGAUUAGAUACCCUGGGUAGUCCACGCCGUAAACGUUGUGCACUAGGCGUCGGAGGUAUUCACUCCCGCCCGGUGCCGCAGCUAACGCAUGAAGUGCACCGCCUGGGGGAGUACGGCCGCAAGGCUA